rnacentral:rRNA from 1 species
GUGAGGAAUAUUGGUCAAUGGGCGGGAGCCUGAACCAGUCAAGUCGCGUGAAGGAAGAAGGAUCUAUGGUUCGUAAACUUCUUUUGCAGGGGAAUAAAGUGCAGGACGUGUCCUGUUUUGUAUGUACCCUGAGAAUAAGGAUCGGCUAACUCCGUGCCAGCAGCCGCGGUAAUACGGAGGAUCCGAGCGUUAUCCGGAUUUAUUGGGUUUAAAGGGUGCGUAGGUGGUUUGAUAAGUCAGCGGUGAAAGUUUGCAGCUUAACUGUAAAAAUGCCGUUGAAACUGUCGGACUUGAGUGUAAAUGAGGUAGGCGGAAUGCGUGGUGUAGCGGUGAAAUGCAUAGAUAUCACGCAGAACUCCGAUUGCGAAGGCAGCUUACUAAGCUACAACUGACACUGAAGCACGAAAGCGUGGGGAUCAAACAGGAUUAGAAACCCGAGUAGUCC